AUGGGUGCCAUUGCAACAACAGUUGAUGUGAAGAAGUGGUGGCUGUGGGGUUACUGGCUUUCACCAAUGAUGUAUGGACAGAAUGCUAUAGCUGUGAAUGAAUUCCUUGGAAAGAGUUGGUCCUAUAUUCCACCUGGUUCAACAGAACCAUUAGGAGUGCAGAUUUUGAAGUCCCGUGGGAUUUCCCUGAAGCAUAUUGGUAUUGGAUUGGAGUAG